AUAUUCUCAACCAUUGGCUUGGGUUCCUUUCCCUUGCUGAUCGUGUUGGAUUUGAGGGUGUAGUGUCGGUCCACUUCAAAGGAUUUUUCUUUUUCUUUUUCUUUGAAGGCGGUCGACUCCCUUUAAAAGCAUUAGUGGGUUUGACCUUUGUGGAUAUGCCUCGAUUUGAUAAUUAUCAAGAUGUCGUCGCACUGAAGCAAUAGACCUGCUUUCCAACUGUCCCUAACAAGGACUGCUCUACGGAGCAAUAAGAGUCGCUGCUUUCGGGCUUGACUUGUAAAAUGACG
rnacentral:misc_RNA from 1 species